UCUGUACGCUCCUUGCUGCUGCUGUGUGAAGAAGGACAUCUUUACUUCCCCUUCUUAUUUUUCCAUGUCAUGAGCUACCCUGUGAAGAGGCCAAUAUGACAAAAGACGAAGAAAGACCUCUGGACAACAGCCAGCAAGGAACCGAGGCCCUCAGUCCUCCAGCUUAUGAGGAAGGGAAGCCUCUAACAACUCCGAAAGAGAAGCCGUUAGAUCAUCAAGAAGUGAGCUGAGACAACUUCAAGUUCAGCACCUACGGGAGUUGGAACCAAGGGAGAAGUGUCUCUUCGAAAAGUCAAAAACAGUAAGGGAGACCAAGAUGCAUAGAGCAAGAGAUGGGAUGAAACAUAUGCUGGUUUCUCAUGAAAGUUACAAAACUCUAUUGGGGUGUGUGUGUGUGUGUGUGUGUGUGUGUGUGUGUGUGUGUUUCAGGGGCAAUGCUGGUAAUGGGGAGCUCUCAGUGUUAAAUAUUAAAUAUAUAGCAAAGAUAGAAAAAUGAUGACUUGGGACAAGCUAUUGAAAUAAUAACUUGAUGUCUAGCAGAUCAGGAUGCUUUUGAAUAAUCUGAUGUGGGGAAACAAAACAGCCAGUAAAUUGUGAGGGAGUAAAGGUAAAAGUUAAGCUAGUCUAUAUGCAUUACUAUUUAUUCACUCAUUUACUGUUUUCAUUCAUUUAUUUGACACAUACUUGUUGAGCAUCUACUGGGGCUGGGCAUCUUUUAGAAAAUGGGAACACCAAUGAAUCAGACACUGCCCUACCCUCAUGGAUCUUAUAAAAGCUAUUCUUUGACAAGAUGAGACUUUCCUUCUUCAAUUCUGGUAAAUUCAGUGGACCAUAUAAUUCAUUUCAAACUGUUUUCAUGUAGGAGAGAUUUGUGUAUGAUUGAGAGCAAGGAAAAGAGGCUUAGAAGGGGAAUUCAAACAUUGAAGACACAAAAGAAAAAAUAAAUAAUAAAAUACUGUGAUCUCUUUGAAAUUGAGAAUUAGAUGAAAUGAAAGAAAUAUAAAAAGGUAGUUUGGCCCUGUGGGGAAGAUGAGCUGUUCUUCCUCUGACACAGAAAAGAAGGAAGAAAGAACAUGCUGGAAGCAGAGCAAAGAAGAGAGGCUUAUGUUUCCAUACAAGAAUUUUGGGAUCCACGUGGAGUGCAAGAGGUUGGAAAAGGAGGUCUCAAAAAAUAAAAUGUUCGGUGGGGCGCAGUGGCUUACGCCUCUGAUCCCUGCACUUC